rnacentral:rRNA from 1 species
UUGGAGGGCAAGUCUGGUGCCAGCAGCCGCGGUAAUUCCAGCUCCAAUAGCGUAUAUUAAAGUUGUUGCAGUUAAAAAGCUCGUAGUUGAAUUUCGGGAUCAAUGUUUCGGUCAUGCCGUUGGUAUGUACUGAUAUUAUUGAUUUCUCACCUUCUAAAGAACCGUAAUGCCAUUAAUUUGGUGUCACGGGGAAUUAGGACUGUUACCUUGAAAAAAUUAGAGUGUUUAAAGCAGGCUCACGCUUGAAUACAUUAGCAUGGAAUAAUGAAAUAGGACAUCCGAUUCUAUUUUGUUGGUUUCUAGGAUCGAUGUAAUGAUUAAUAGGGAUAGUUGGGGGCAUUAGUAUUCAAUUGUCAGAGGUGAAAUUCUUGGAUUUAUUGAAGACUAACUACUGCGAAAGCAUUUGCCAAGGAUGUUUUCAUUAAUCAAGAACGAAAGUUAGGGGAUCGAAGACGAUCAGAUACCGUCGUAGUCUUAACCAUAAACUAUGCCGACUAGGGAUCGGAUGAUGUUAAUUUUUUAAUGAUUCAUUCGGCGCCUUACGGGAAAC